CAGUCGCCGCGGUAAUACGGAGGGGGCUAGCGUUGUUCGGAAUUACUGGGCGUAAAGCGCACGUAGGCGGCUUUGUAAGUCAGAGGUGAAAGCCCGGGGCUCAACCCCGGAAUUGCCUUUGAGACUGCAUCGCUUGAAUCCAGGAGAGGUGAGUGGAAUUCCGAGUGUAGAGGUGAAAUUCGUAGAUAUUCGGAAGAACACCAGUGGCGAAGGCGGCUCACUGGACUGGUAUUGACGCUGAGGUGCGAAAGCGUGGGGAGCAAACAGGAUUAGAUACCCGAGUAGUCCCUGUCUCUUAUAA
rnacentral:rRNA from 1 species